GGUCACCUGUUUUAUUGUAUCACCAUGUCUCCGCUGAGCAUCAACAACAUGCAGUGUCCCUGGCCACCGUGUCACCCUCACUGUACCUGGCAUACAACUCAUCAUCAAUGUAAAAAAAACACACACAAUACAACUCUUUAUGGGCAUUGGCUAUACAAAUGUCAACCAAAAAAAUAUAAAACAUGAUUUUUUUUUUCUUUUUUUAAACACUGAGAAAAACUGACACUCACACAUCAAUAGUCCUCCAGAAACAAUGCAUUGACCAUCCGUACAUCCACGCUCACUGAGCUAGAAAUGGCAGACUUGGCAGAUACUAGCCAGUCAGGAAGUGUUGGCACACUGUGGUCAUGUGACAGGAAACUGGUACAUUUUGGCAUGCACUGUCAACAGAGAGGAACUGCAGACCGCAGAACUAAGGUACUUUCCAGGCAUCGACAAGACUCAAGAGAUUGUGACAUGGUCUGGGGAUGACUUGUGGCCAGUGGGACGGAUAUGGGGCUUCCUGGAGGCGGAGUCUGUCUGCGCUGGACGGCGGGUCAGCGCGCUGUGAGCGGAGCCUGUCCGAGAUUGACGCCGUGUUGUCCCGCCUGAGGUGUGAUCGGUAGAGCAGCGCCGACAGGCUGACAGAGUCGUCUUCAUCGUCAUCGUCUUCCUCCUCCGGGUCCUGCGGAGCAGGUGUACCGUUAGCCUAGCCUUCCCUGCAGAGCAGGUGUGCCGUUAGCCUAGCCUUCCCUGCAGAGCAGGUGUACCGUUAGCCUAGCCUUCCCUGCAGAGCAGGUGUACCGUUAGCCUAGCCUUCCAUGGAGAGCAGGUGUACCGUUAGCCUAGCCUUCCCUGGAGAGCAGGUAUACCAUUAGCCUAGCCUUCCCUGCAGAGCAGGUGUACCGUUAGCCUAGCCUUCCCUGCAGAGCAGGUGUACCGUUAGCCUAGCCUUCCCUGGAGAGCAGGUAUACCGUUAGCCUAGCCUUCCCUGCAGAGCAGGUGUACCGUUAGCAUAGCCUUCCCUGGCUUAUCAGCCAUAUCCAGAGCCCAUUGUCCGGUUAUUUUAAUGCCAAUAAGAGGCAGUAAACAGGCAGCCCUU